CACCCCACAAAACCAUUAUUCACAUAUACACACUAAUUAAAAAUUACUAUUAAGUCCACCUUUCUAUAAAAAUAUAUAAUUUUAAAUCCGGAAUAAAAUAAAAUUAACUAUAGUAGCUCAUUAAACCUUCUUUAUAAGCUGCAUUAUGACUUGACAUAAAAAUUUAAAUAUUUUCUAGUCUUUUAAUAUAAUUCUUAAAACAUAAACUGACGACAGCAAUAUACAAACUGAAUUUAUAUACAAUUUCAAAAAAAAGUUAGUUUAAAUUGAGGAUUAUCAAAUAAAUUAACAAGCUCCCCUAAUUGGAUAUGUAGAACCGCCAAACUUUUUAAGUUUUAAAUAAACACGUAAUCUUAUAAAAGUAAACAUAAUUCAUAAUACUUAGGUAAAAUAAUUUUAUUUUUACAAAUCAAAA
rnacentral:rRNA from 1 species